rnacentral:rRNA from 1 species
CCUACGGGAGGCAGCAGUAGGGAAUCUUCGGCAAUGGGGGCAACCCUGAUCGAGCAACGCCGCGUGAGUGAAGAAGGUUUUCGGAUCGUAAAGCUCUGUUGUAAGUCAAGAACGGGUGUGGGAGUGGAAAGUUCACACUGUGACGGUAGCUUACCAGAAAGGGACGGCUAACUACGUGCCAGCAGCCGCGGUAAUACUUAGGUCCCGAGCGUUGUCCGGAUUUAUUGGGCGUAAAGCGAGCGCAGGCGGUUUGAUAAGUCGGAGGUUAAAGGCUGUGGGUUCACCCAUAGUUCGCUUUGGAAACUGUCAAACUUGAGUGCAGAAGGGGAGAGUGGAAUUCCAUGUGUAGCGGUGAAAUGCGUAGAUAUAUGGAAGAACACCGGUGGCGAAAGCGGCUCUCUGGUCUGUAACUGACGCUGAGGCUCGAAAGCGUGGGGAGCGAACAGGAUUAGAUACCCUGGUAGUC